UUCAAAGAGGAGGGAAGUGGUAUUGAGAGCACAGCUUCAUAUCAGAUGGAUUGUGGUAAUUCCUCUUUUCUCACAGUCACUGUGGUUACAGCUGCUAAUGAAACACUGUGGGAGGAUUAACAGGAGCAGCAGAUCCAACAUCAACCACAAACACACAAAGGAAGCUGAAAAUAAAACAAAGAAACUAAAACACAGACACUGACUUUAUCCUCUUUCUAAACCAUUUUGAUGCAAAAAAAAAAUAAAAAUACAGGAGCUUCUCUGUAUUCAGGUCAAUGAUUUUAUGAAGUCACUUUAAAUUUGUGAAAAUUAAGAGGCAGGUUUAUGGACCACUAACUGAGAAACAGAGCACAGCCAGAGGAGGAGCUACACAACUGAAUAUGAAAGGCUUCAUGUUGGAGCUGAAGAGCUGCUGUGUUCUCUCUGUUGUUCAUUCAGUACAAGUGAAAAUAAUGUUUCUGCUUCUCAUCUGGAUGAUGAUCGUCUCCUUUCAAACUGGAUCCUCUGAGGAUGUUCUGACUCCAUUCAAAGAUGUAUUGAUGUCUUUGGAAGGAGAAUCUGUGACUCUCUCCUGCAACUAUUCAGGUUCUGCCAACAACCUCUACUGGUACCAACAGAAGUCCAGUUCAUCUCCACAGUUCCUCAUCCAAGAAUAUUCAGAGACAACAGGAAGGUUGUCUUUGAGACACGACAAACAGUCAAAAGAGUUCCAUCUGAACAUCUCCUCUGCUGCAGUGUCAGACUCUGCUGUGUACUGCUGUGCUCUGCAGCCCACAGUGACAGGAAACAGUAAAACUCUGUACAAAAACCUUUGGAGCAAAGACAACAGAAAACUCCACAACAUCCACUAGAGGGAGACGCACUCUGUUACACUCCUAUGCAAUGUUGUCAUGUUUUUGUCAAGUCUAGCACCAGUUGACUCCUAGGCAGGAUUAAACUGGUCCUAACGUAAAACUUUCCAAAUGAAA